rnacentral:lncRNA from 1 species
GGAGACCAGUGAAACUCCAGAUCUUUGUAAUGAAUUCUGAUAGUUUUGGAAUCAGAUUAACUUGGAAAAAGAUAAGGAAGUCAAGAUGAUUUUUGAAAUGUUGUUAAAAGGUCUUUCAAUUGUCCAAAUAUUGAAAAGCUGACUCCUAUGCUAUAACAUCAUCUGUUGCAAGUUAACAUCAUUUGCUAACUUCAAGAUGGUGAAGAUCUGAUGAGCAGCUUCUUCAGUGAAUUAUAACCUUCUGAGUCAUAUGCUGUGAGAAAAUUAACCACUUUGGAUGGAAAAAAUAGAAAAAUAAGUUUGCACUCAAAUACAUACCUGCACUUAUGUCCAGUGACAGUCACACAUGAAUCAGAAGACAGAAUUUUACACAUCAGUGACUGUUCCCAGAAGUGACAGAGCUUUGGGUGUGCAAGGAAGGACUGACAAAUACAGUCAAAAAACCAGUCAAACCAUAGAGGAAAAAAAUGCUUUUCAGUGCGUUAACAAAGAGUUUCUGGGAGACAAGAACAUAGCCCAAAUUCCUUCCAACCAUUUAAAAAGGAAAACAGGAGAGUCUGUGCAAGAGAGAAACUUUCACCACUAUAUUCUCUGUCUACCUAACAUAAAGGAGAGAGGGAACAUUGUUCCAGCUCAGCAACAAAAAAAAAACGGUGGAGAAGCUGCCUAUGAACCCAGCAGAAAAUCAGGAGAUGUACCGGGUACCUAG